rnacentral:lncRNA from 1 species
AUCUCAGUUUACCAUUUUUUUAAGGGAUUUUUUUUUUUCAACAUUUUUCAAAUUUCAAAUUUUGAAAAGUUUCAAUAAGAAAUAUUCAAUUGCACAGUAUUGUACAAUAGAUGUUUAAAUCUUGAACCACAUUAAUUUUGUGGCAAAAACCUAUAUUAUGUCAAAAAUUUGAUCACAAUCAAAAUUCAGACAGUAUCAAGCUUGAAUAUUGUGACCAAAUUUGCCCCAACUGUUCAGGGUUUGACCACUGGGGUCGUAUAAAGCUGCGUCCUGCGGAUCACCUGGUUUAUAAAUAUUUUGUCAACAUUAACUAGGUUAUUUUGUUUUAGGCUAUUUUUUGUAUGAUGUCAUAGACAAUAUGAUGAAUGGAACACUUCUAACAAACUGGGAAGUUACUUUGCAUCAUGUAUUGGUAAGUAUACUUUGUAAAAAGAUAUUAUUAUUAUUAUUAUUAUUAUUUAACGAAACAGAUGAGACUACGCGAGACUUGGGUAUUACUGUCUAGCGGCGGCAAUGUAAACUUUGUAUAAAGCUUUAUAUUUUAGAAGAUAGAUCUAAUUGCGCCAUUUCAUGUUUGCACAUAUCUUAUUUUACGAAGUUUUCGUCUAUAAUAUUUCCACAAAAUCAUGGAACAUGAAAUAAAUUAGUGAGAUGGUCAACAUAGAAAAGAGUGACGUUUAUUUUUAUGACACAACCGUACCGGAGAAGGCAUUAAGUUUUACCCUUGUCCGUCUGUACGUCCGUCCGUCCCAAAGAUGGUUUCUGUUCUCUAACUUUAGUUUGCUUCAAUCAAAUGUAAUGAAACUUAUUCAAAAUGCUUAUUACCACAAAACACAGAUCAAGUUUGAAUUGUUGUGGUGUAACAUUUACCAUUCUAGUGAUAUGCCGCUUUACAAAUGAAAAUAUUGCUGACUUUUUUGUUUCCGUUCUCUAACUUUAGUUCGCCUCAACCAAAUUUAAUUAAACUUAUACAUAAUGUUUAUUAUCACAAUAUACAGAUCAAGUUUGAGUUUUGGUGGUGUCACUUCAACCGCUCUAGAUUUAUGCUCCUUUACAAAUUGAAAAAUCGGAAUCUUAUCUCUUUAAAAAUAUCAGCUAUAAUUGUUAAAAUUAAUUUUGAAAAUUGGAGUUAUCUUCCUUUGUCUAUAAUUGUUGUUGGAUCAACUACAACCAAUGCUUUAUACACGUAAUGUUCACUGAAAAAUUAAAACAAUAUUUACCCUUCGGUGCUUACAAGCACUUUGAUUAAUGUUCUUUAGUUUUGUUCCUUUAUAACUUUAUAUGAUAUGCAAGCGGGGGAAUCGGACACAUUCCAUAUUUUUUUUAUGUUUCCAUGCGUUUCUGUUUGUUAGAUAAACUUUUUCAUAACAGUUGUUAAAUGAAAUAUUGUUUACAAAUUUUUCUUAUUUUUUUUCCCUUGAGAAUCAAAUAACACUUUUACUUUCACGUUUGACAAAUCAUAUAUAAUUUGUUCUACUGUUCAUUACACUCUUAUUUUAUCUUUUUUUGUUUGUUUUUCAUAGGUCUUAAUUGGUUUUACAUACAACUGGACAGCGAAAGUGUGUCUUGGAUACAGCAUUUUAGCAUUGAUGGCUGAAAUAAACAGCAUAUUUCUUCAUUUUCGGAAAAUGCUGCAGUUCUCUACCGUUGGAUACGAGACAAAAAUAUACAGAACUACAUCUUUGUUGAAUCUUAUUUCAUUUAUAUUGUGUCGUUUGCUUCCGCAGUGUCGUAUACUAAACGGUUUCUACAUAGAUGGUCAUAAACUUCCACGAAUGUAUAUGGUAACAUUGAGCAUAAUAUUUCCUCCAGGAUUUAUAAUCAAUGUGAUUCUAUUCUGGAGAAUAUUCAAAUCAGAUGUUCUGAGAUCCUUAAAGGCAGAUAAAACGGUUAUACCUAACAAAUCAAACAGUAAAAAGGAAGAUUGAUUUAUGGGUGAACGUUUAGGAAAUCAUUCAAAACAGAAAUAAUUUUAUUUGACAAGAUUCUCAUCUUUGAACCCGAGUGUUUCAUUUUCAUUUGACAUCGUGUUUUACACUCAUUCUAAAAGGGAUGAUAUGUAACAUUACCUAACCAGGGGUUUUCUAUACUAAGUAUAGAAAGUGUCCUUGUCUAAACACAGUAGUGUAUUGUGCACAGAUUACUAUUAUCCUAUGAGUAUUAUACAUCUGUAAAACCAAAAACUAUAGCCAUAAUCUGUUAUACGACAGUCUUAGACUACAACCCUUAGCUACGCUCUAGAAAGAACACAUUAAACGUGGUUUAGCAAAAUGAAUUCAAUAUGCAUGCCGAAGUUUAUAUAAUGCGAGAAUUGAUGCAUCAUUUAAAGACACGCUUGAGUUAGUUACUUUUACAGACUCGCUUGAACUUGUGUACCUUUUACAGACACGCUAUGCCUUAAUUGUUUAAUGACUGAAGCAAAGUUUUUAUAUUCUAUUUUUACUUGAUUUUAGUAAACUUUUAAAAGUAUUCUUAUUUUUAUAUUAAUAUUUUUGAAUAAAACUGAAAUUAUG